ensembl:lncRNA
GGUGUAUUGCAUUUUCCAAAGUUAGCAACAAACGGAAUCUCUGACCGACUGACCUUCUGAUCUUUGCAUGACCAGCUCUGACUAUCCUCCUGUACAGAGGUAUAGGGCCGAUGUGCCACUCUGGGAUGGGGAAACCGAGGCCCAGAGAUGUUAGGCAGCUUCUACCAACUGCUGAGCGGGGAACCAAGAAGCAGCCCCAGCCCAGAAGGUAAAAAGAGCAAAGGGGCACGGCCUUGCUUUGUAAGGAUGGUCCUGAGAACACAGGCGGGACUACAGCAGCAGCAGGCUUGGCAAACACCCCAGCCCUCCCCAGACUUCCUGAACCAGAAAUUCUGAGGGUGAGGCCAGCAUUGUGUUUUUAAUACGUCCCUUCCCCACCCCACCCCCCCACCCCCACACACACAGAGGGGCCUG